rnacentral:pre_miRNA from 1 species
AAAGUACUCCCUCCGUCCCAAAAUUCUUGUCUUAGAUUUGUCUAGAUACGGAUGUAUCAAGUCACAUUUUAGUAUUAGAUACAUCCGUACCUAGACAAAUCUAAGACAAGAAAUUUGGGACAGAGGGAGUAGUUG